rnacentral:lncRNA from 13 species
GGCAUUAACUGUCUGUCUCUGUCAGGGCUGUAACUCUGUAUGGUCUCCUUCAGGGCAGUAACUUUGUAUGGUCUCCUUCAGGGCAGUAACUCUGUAUGGUCUCCUUCAGGGCAGUAACUCUGUCUCUCCUCCCUCAGGGCAUUAACUGUCUGUCUCUGUCAGGGCUGUAACUCUGUAUGGUCUCCUUCAGGGCAGUAACUUUGUAUGGUCUCCUUCAGGGCAGUAACUCUGUAUGGUCUCCUUCAGGGCAGUAACUCUGUCUCGUCUCCUUCAGGGUAGUAACUCUGUCUGGUCUCCUUCAGGGUAGUAACAAUGUCUGGUCUCCUUCAGGGAAGUAACUCUGUAUGGUCUCCUUCAGGGCAGUAACUCUGUAUGGUCUCCUUCAGGGCAGUAACUCUGUCUGGUCUCCUUCAGGG